rnacentral:tRNA from 1 species
GGCGCUGUGGCUUAGUUGGUUAAAGCGCCUGUCUAGUAAACAGGAGAUCCUGGGUCCAAAUCCCAGCAGUGACU